rnacentral:rRNA from 1 species
GACGAACGCUGGCGGCGUGCUUAACACAUGCAAGUCGAACGGAAAGGCCCUGCUUUUGUGGGGUGCUCGAGUGGCGAACGGGUGAGUAACACGUGAGUAACCUGCCCUUGACUUUGGGAUAACUUCAGGAAACUGGGGCUAAUACCGGAUAGGAGCUCCUGCUGCAUGGUGGGGGUUGGAAAGUUUCGGCGGUUGGGGAUGGACUCGCGGCUUAUCAGCUUGUUGGUGGGGUAGUGGCUUACCAAGGCUUUGACGGGUAGCCGGCAUGGGAGGGGGACCGGGCACAUUGGGACUGAGAUACGGCGCAGACGCCUACGGGAGGCAGCAGUGGGGAAUAUGGCACAAUGGGCGGAAGCCUGAUGCAGCAACGCCGCGUGCGGGAUGACGGCCUUCGGGUUGUAAACCGCUUUCGCCUGUGACGAAGCGUGAGUGACGGUAAUGGGUAAAGAAGCACCGGCUAACUACGUG